rnacentral:rRNA from 1 species
UACGUAGGGCGCAAGCGUUGUCCGGAAUUAUUGGGCGUAAAGAGCUCGUAGGCGGUUUGUCGCGUCUGUCGUGAAAGCUUGGGGCUUAACCCCAAGUCUGCGGUGGAUACGGGCAGACUAGAGGCAGGUAGGGGAGAACGGAAUUCCCGGUGUAGCGGUGAAAUGCGCAGAUAUCGGGAGGAACACCGGUGGCGAAGGCGGUUCUCUGGGCCUGUACUGACGCUGAGGAGCGAAAGCGUGGGGAGCGAACAGGAU